CCCUUAGAUGUCCUGGGCCGCACGCGCGUUACACUGAUGCAUUCAACGAGCUUAUAACCUUGGCCGAGAGGCCCGGGCAAUCUUGUUAACGUGCAUCGUGAUAGGGAUAGAUUAUUGAAAUUAUUAAUCUUGAACGAGGAAUUCCUAGUAAACGCAGAUCAUCAAUCUGCAUUGAUUACGUCCCUGCCCUUUGUACACACCGCCCGUCGCACCUACCGAUUGGAUGGUCCGGUGAAGCCUCGGGAUUGUGGUUCUUGCCGCUUUAUUGUGGCGUGAUCGCGAGAACUUGUCUAAACCUUAUCAUCUAGAGGAAGGUGAAGUCGUAACA
rnacentral:rRNA from 1 species